GUCAACAUGGUGUAGUGGUUUGAAUGUUGGACUAUGACUCUGGAGACCAGAGUUCAACUCCCCGUUAGGCCA